rnacentral:misc_RNA from 1 species
UAUUAAUACCUCAGUUUUUUCGAUAGAUGGAACUUAAAAGAUUCUCAGGGAUAUACUUAGAAAAAAUUGAGAGUGAAAUUGCACUUGUAUAUCAAUUUUAAUAAGAAAAUUUAUAUGUGUUGGUCGAAUUAGUGAGUAUUUCGUUAUCCCAGUAUCCGUGUGAGAUAAUGCAUUAUUCCUAACCUACCUUUAUUUACGCUAUUAGAAUUUCUUACUUUGACGUUUGGAGUGAUCAGUGAUAACAAUGGCAAGAUUUCUUACGUGGAAACAUCUUUUUCUAUUAGUUAUAAUACAAAUUGUCAAUGCCAAAAGAAUCAAGGAUAUGAUUUAUAUGUCAGUCGAUGGAGCUGCUGGUUGUUUUCGAAGACAUAAUGGAACACAUCAAUUUGGUUGCUCGUCAAGUAGAUCUGGUAGCGUAGGAGUAAUACAUUUAAUAGAACAAGAAGACGACGUCAGAUGGUUGGAAACUAAAGCAACUGCAGGCCCAUAUACUGCGGUCUUACCAUUUUCAAUGUUUACCAGAGAUAUUCUUCUACGUUUGAAAAAUACUAACAAUAUCAAUGGCGUUCUAUUGGCAAGAAAUACUAGUAGAAAAUACCCAGAUUUUUAUUCGCCCGAGGAUACUUGUCCAAACAGAUACUCAAAUUAUAAAAAAUGUAACGACAAACGUCCAUGGAAUCCUCACGGAUCAUCCAUUCUAUUAGAAGACUGGCCAUUUCCCAUGUUUUAUAUGGAGAAUCAAACACUUUUGGAAGCUAUAAAGUCUUGUUUUUGGAAUCAUAAUGCUCACCAUCUUGAAAAUCAAAGCGAGCGUUCCUUGUGUGCAUUGGAGAUGAAAUCAUUCAUGUUUUCGGCUAUUAAUUCUGAUUCGUGUAUGAAACGUAGCGAUUUUUAUUUGAAUAUUAAUCCAACAUCAUUCUGUGAUCCACUCGGAGAUAGGAAUAUACAUUGGCCAUUAGCACCAUUGAAUUCAGAUUCCAAUUCUGUAAUUAUGGUUACCUCCAGAAUAGAUGCGUCUUCUAUGUUUGAUGGAAUAUCUCCUGGAGCUUUAAGUACGAUAACAGGCAUAGUUUCAUUACUAGCAACCGCUACUUACUUGAAGUCUUUGGAACCAGUUAUCAAAAAUACAAAUGUUGUUUUUACUCUUCUUAAUGGAGAAGCUUUUGACUAUAUAGGUUCCAGUCGAUUGGUUUAUGAUCUAAAAGAGGGUCAUUUUAAUGCUCUCGGUGGAGUUAGUUUAAAACUUAAUGAAAUUGUAACUGUAAUCGAACUUAGUCAAUUAUCCAAAGGAGAUUUAUUUUUGCACGUUAGCAACAAUAAGACUAAUACAAUAAUAAGUCAGUUAACUGAAGGGUUACAAGCUAAAGUAUUGAGUAACAGCGUUCCACCUACAUCUGUACAAAGCUUUCUAGAAACAGAACCGAGUCUUACCACCAUUGUUAUAACUAGUUAUCCUGAUCAAUUUACCAAUAAUUAUUAUAACAGCAUUUUAGAUAAUGCCAAGAGUCUUCAUUUCAACAGAAAUAAUACAAACGAUCUUGCAUCGAGUUUAACAAAUAUAAGCGUCACUUUGGCGGAGACUCUGUAUUACAACGUCACAGGUGGUAAAGCUCCAAGUGGAGAUGUAGAUAGGAUCGAAAAAAUUAUCUCUGAAAUGUUGUCUUGUUAUCUAGAAAGCGCAAAAUGUAAUUUGUUUCACGCAGCAUCGUCUCCAGGAACCAAGUUGGCCGAUCAAAUUUUACCUUUAUACGUCAGUGUACAUAGGGUACCUAAUACCGUUACAAUUUUAACUGGUCAACUUUUGGCUCUGUUAACUGGCGAUAUAUUAGAUAUGAAUGAAACAGCGUGUUACGAUCAUCAUCACGCGUGGAUGGGUGGAUAUAAUUUAACUGGAAUUUGUAUAAAUUCAACAGUAAAUUACAGUAUAGCUUUAAGUCCAGCAUUCACUAUCAGUGAUUACGAUAUGAAGUCAGGAAUAUUUUCAACGUGGACAGAAUCUAUAUGGCAAAUACUAAGUGUUAGAAUGUUCUUGAAACCUUCUGCAGCAACAGAACGUCUUAGCAUGAUUCUUGGCAGUAUAGUGACUAGCACAUCUUUUAUUUUAGUAUGGUUUAUUAAUUCCAAGGCUGAUAUAUUAUUUAAUUCCAGGCGAGCUGUUGAUUGCUAGGGAUACGCUGCGGACCACAUAUCAAUGACCAGGUUGGAUCAUCGAAGAGAUGAUGUUCCCGUAACAAGCCUUUAAAAUUAUAUGUGUGGUACGCCCUCGGACGAUUUUUUUAAGUCUGUAUCAAAAGAAAAUUAGGGUUUCACCUCACUAAAAAAAAAAAGUACCAAGAAAAUUAAUUUAUCUUAAAAUAUUGAGUUAACGUGGGAUGUAUGAUGCAUUUAAAAAGAUUUUCAGAACACAACGUAUUCAAAAACGAAGCAAUCUGAAAAUUAUAUAAUUCAUGGUAAAACUUUUGGUUUCAACAAAAUAUUCGUAUUUAAAAAAGAAUAUUUUUUAUGAAAAAUAAUGUCUAACAUUGUUUGUGAAUUAUUUGAUAAGCAUCACUUUGAAUUUUUAAAUUUAGUCAAUGAAUUACUUUGAGGAAAGAUGCAAUCAUAUUUGUAAUGAUUUAAGCAUCUUUUUAUCGUAAUAUCCUGCUUACAGAUUUUUAUUAAUAACUUUUAAAA